rnacentral:lncRNA from 1 species
ACGAACACCACAUGCAUGUACACCACAUGCAUGUGAAAGACAAUUUUCUGCUGAACCAUCUCAAUUAAUAACGACGACCAAACACAUUGGCGUUUGGAGCUAGCAAUGCAUCCAAUUGGUGCGCGGUGCUGCCAUGAAUUGUUUUCGUCCGGUCGACCGAUCACCUGAUUGGCGUUUUUCUGUUACUACCAUGCGUGUUAGCUUAGCUUAACCAUUAAUGUAAUGGUAUGUACGUGAAGCAUAGCAAGGCGCUGCGUGGUUUGCAAGAUUCGCGGCCCCAUUGCUUACUUGCUGUAGACUCCAGCCUCCUGCGGAGCAGUUCGUGUACUGUGCAUUAAUGUUUUUUGAAGAUUUUUUUUAGAGGAAAUGUUUUUUUUAGCGAAGGAAAUGUUUAAGAUGUGCAUCAAUGAAACUUUUACACCUAGGACCAAGGCCCAGCCAGAGGCAACCUGCCCUGGCCCCUGGGCCGCCGGGUGGAAGGGGGCCCUGCCUUGUUCUUUUUCGGGUAAAAAGUAGUUCCUUCCGCGAAUGGCUGACC